rnacentral:lncRNA from 1 species
AAAUUGUGUUAGUCCUAUGCCAAAUUUUGGUGGUAAAAUCCUGAAGACCACCACAUUUCGCGAACUCUGAUAAAUCUAUAGACAACACUGACUUUAGCUGACUAUCUUCCAUUUGUACUAUUUGAAUUUCAACAUUUUUUGUUGCAGGAAUUAAACUAGGGUAAGACAGGAGUUUUAAGAGUAUGCAGAUAGGGGGUUAACAGAAUAGAGAAAAAGAGCAAAAAAUAUAAAGAAGACAGAAAUGAGCAAAAAAAAUAAAGAAAAGAGAAUAACAAGUUGCUAAAAUAUAAAUACAUGUUAUAGAGGCGUACAAAUUAAAGAAUGCAGAAAUGAAUAACCCCCUAUCCACACCCUGAAUGGGGCAAUGACCCAG